rnacentral:rRNA from 1 species
ACGCACGCUGGCGGCGUGCCUAACACCUGCAAGUCGAACGAGAAAGGGGCUUCGGCUCCGAGUAAAGUGGCGCACGGGUGAGUAACACGUGGGUAACCUGCCUCUAAGAUUGGGAUAACUCGUCGAAAGAUGAGCUAAUACCGAAUAAGACCACAGUUCCCGCGGGAACAGGGGUCAAAGGUAGCCUCUGCUUGCAAGCUAUCACUUAGAGAUGGGCCUGCGCACCAUUAGCUAGUUGGUAGGGUAACGGCCUACCAAGGCAAAGAUGGUUAGCUGGUCUGAGAGGAUGAUCAGCCACACUGGAACUGAGACACGGUCCAGACUCCUACGGGAGGCAGCAGUGGGGAAUAUUGCGCAAUGGGCGAAAGCUUGACGCAGCAACGCCGCGUGAGUGAUGAAGGCCGUCGGGCCGUAAAGCUCUGUCGGGAGGAACGAAUGCUCCUGAGGUUAACAGCCUCGGGAGGUGACGGUACCUUCAAAGGAAGCACCGGCUAACUCUGUG